CCGUUGCCUUUGAAGAAGGGAGUCAGGGUGACAUUCCUCCUCCAAGGUGGCGAGCCGCGCGCUGGGGAGAAUCCAGAGGACGCCUCGGAACCAUUUCCUCCUUCGCCUGCUCCCUGCCAGGGCCGCGGCCCGGGGCCCUGCCUCCUCUGCCAAGGGACCGUGUGUGGCCGGACCUGCUCGGGACCCAGGCGCUGUCCUGCCAGGAGCCAAGUUGGGAGCGCGAACGAAAGUUACACAAGACGUUUCAGAACCCAGUUUAAUUCUGAAGUAACAAGGAAAGAGAGAAAUGGCCACUACAAGCUGCAGAGCUGACAGAUACUCAGAGUGAGCAGUUUAAGCACAGUGAGCUGCGAGCCCACUUCU